GAUGAAGCACCACCUUCCAGGAACA
rnacentral:tRNA from 1 species